rnacentral:rRNA from 1 species
CAGAAGGCACACCCGGAGAACUGAAACAUCUUAGUACCCGGAGGAAGAGAAAGAAAAUUCGAUUCCCUUAGUAGCGGCGAGCGAAACGGGAAGAGCCCAAACCAAAAAGCUUGCUUGUUGGGGUUGUAGGACACUCUAUACGGAGUUACAAAGGACGACAUUAGACGAAUCAUCUGGAAAGAUGAAUCAAAGAAGGUAAUAAUCCUGUAGUCGAAAAUGUUGUCUCUCUUGAGUGGAUCCUGAGUACGACGGAGCACGUGAAAUUCCGUCGGAAUCUGGGAGGACCAUCUCCUAAGGCUAAAUACUCUCUAGUGACCGAUAGUGAACCAGUACCGUGAGGGAAAGGUGAAAAGCACCCCGGAAGGAGAGUGAAAUAGAACCUGAAACCGUGUGCUUACAAGUAGUCAGAGCCCGUUAAUGGGUGAUGGCGUGCCUUUUGUAGAAUGAACCGGCGAGUUACGAUUUGAUGCAAGGUUAAGCAGUAAAUGUGGAGCCGUAGCGAAAGCGAGUCUGAAUAGGGCGUUUAGUAUUUGGUCGUAGACCCGAAACCAGGUGAUCUACCCUUGGUCAGGUUGAAGUUCAGGUAACACUGAAUGGAGGACCGAACCGACUUACGUUGAAAAGUGAGCGGAUGAACUGAGGGUAGCGGAGAAAUUCCAAUCGAACCUGGAGAUAGCUGGUUCUCUCCGAAAUAGCUUUAGGGCUAGCCUCAAGUGAUGAUUAUUGGAGGUAGAGCACUGUUUGGACGAGGGGCCCCUCUCGGGUUACCGAAUUCAGACAAACUCCGAAUGCCAAUUAAUUUAACUUGGGAGUCAGAACAUGGGUGAUAAGGUCCGUGUUCGAAAGGGAAACAGCCCAGACCACCAGCUAAGGUCCCAAAAUAUAUGUUAAGUGGAAAAGGAUGUGGCGUUGCCCAGACAACUAGGAUGUUGGCUUAGAAGCAGCCAUCAUUUAAAGAGUGCGUAAUAGCUCACUAGUCGAGUGACACUGCGCCGAAAAUGUACCGGGGCUAAACAUAUUACCGAAGCUGUGGAUUGUCCUUUGGACAAUGGUAGGAGAGCGUUCUAAGGGCGUUGAAGCAUGAUCGUAAGGACAUGUGGAGCGCUUAGAAGUGAGAAUGCCGGUGUGAGUAGCGAAAGACGGGUGAGAAUCCCGUCCACCGAUUGACUAAGGUUUCCAGAGGAAGGCUCGUCCGCUCUGGGUUAGUCGGGUCCUAAGCUGAGGCCGACAGGCGUAGGCGAUGGAUAACAGGUUGAUAUUCCUGUACCACCUAUAAUCGUUUUAAUCGAUGGGGGGACGCAGUAGGAUAGGCGAAGCGUGCGAUUGGAUUGCACGUCUAAGCAGUAAGGCUGAGUAUUAGGCAAAUCCGGUACUCGUUAAGGCUGAGC